rnacentral:sRNA from 1 species
AGUGCUGUGGGGUCCCUAGAGACCUGAAACUCACAGCCCACUGGGGACAGCACAAGGGCCCUUUUCUUUGGCUCCUGCUUCCCUCUAGAGGCGGGCACUGUGCUGUACCAAACAGACAUCCACACCUCCCCUAUGACAACCGCAUGAUGCUCAAGGUGUGCACCCUUAGGAGGCCAUGAGCAUUCUAGCCGGCGGCACCCACGUGGUCCCUGAGGCUGCACAGCUGCUGGGCUUCCAUAAGGAAGAGGGCAGUGGACAGGAGUCAUGAAGACUGAUUCAGAAACCCCCCUGCAGGAGGAGAAGACGUCUGAGCCAUCCCUGUGCCACCACCAAGAGUCACUCCAGCUUCUGAAAAAGCCACCGUGGGGAGAGCUGCCUCCAAUUAAAGUUCUUGGUCACAUCA